rnacentral:rRNA from 1 species
GAUGAACGCUGACAGAAUGCUUAACACAUGCAAGUCGAUGGGGAAGUGGUGCUUGCACCAUGGCAACCAUGGCGGACGGGUGAGUAACGCGUAAGGGACUUACCUGCAGGACUGGGAUAACAGGGGGAAACUCCUGACAAGACCGGAUAAUGUCAUGGAGCUGCAUGGCUUUAUGAUGAAAGGAGACGCCUGCGGAGAGCCUUGCGUCCUAUUAGCUAGUUGGUGAGGUAAGGGCUCACCAAGGCGAAGAUAGGUAGCCGGCCUGAGAGGGUGGACGGCCACAAGGGGACUGAGAUACGGCCCUUACUCCUACGGGAGGCAGCAGUGGGGAAUAUUGGACAAUGGGGGCAACCCUGAUCCAGCAAUUCUGUGUGCACGAAGAAGGUUUUCGGAUUGUAAAGUGCUUUCAGCAGGGAAGAAGUAAGUGACGGUACCUGCAGAAGAAGCGACGGCUAAAUACGUGCCAGCAGCCGCGGUAAUACGUAUGUCGCGAGCGUUAUCCGGAAUUAUUGGGCAUAAAGGGCAUCUAGGCGGCCUGACAAGUCAGGGGUGAAAACCUGCGGCUCAACCGCAGGCCUGCCUUUGAAACUGUGAGGCUGGAGUACCGGAGAGGUGGACGGAACUGCACGAGUAGAGGUGAAAUUCGUAGAUAUGUGCAGGAAUGCCGAUGAUGAAGAUAGUUCACUGGACGGUAACUGACGCUGAAGUGCGAAAGCCGGGGGAGCGAACAGG